rnacentral:rRNA from 1 species
UACGUAGGGCGCAAGCGUUGUCCGGAAUUACUGGGCGUAAAGCGUGCGCAGGCGGUUCGUUGUGUCUGUGGUGAAAGCCCCGGGCUUAACCUGGGAAUGGCCAUGGAAACUGGCGAGCUGGAGUGUGGCAGAGGGGGGUGGAAUUCCACGUGUAGCAGUGAAAUGCGUAGAGAUGUGGAGGAACACCGAUGGCGAAGGCAGCCCCCUGGGCUGAGAUUGACGCUCAGGCACGAAAGCGUGGGGAGCAAACAGG